rnacentral:rRNA from 1 species
ACAGGCUUAACACAUGCAAGUCGAGGGGCAGCGGGGUAAAGGCUUGCCUUUACCUGCCGGCGACCGGCGCACGGGUGAGUAACGCGUAUCCAACCUGCCCUUUACUCGGGGAUAGCCUUGCGAAAGUAAGAUUAAUACCCGAUGGUAUUGGAUUUCCGCAUGGGGAUUCAAUUAAAGGUGAAAAUUGGUAAAGGAUGGGGAUGCGUUCCAUUAGGCAGUAGGCGGGGUAACGGCCCACCUAACCGACGAUGGAUAGGGGUUCUGAGAGGAAGGUCCCCCACAUUGGAACUGAGACACGGUCCAAACUCC